GUGGAGUCUCGCGAGAUUGCCCACGGAGUUACCAUAGCGACCGCCGAGCGCGGGUCUGAGGCGGCUACUGAGUGGCCUUUUCGACUUCUCCCAGCAGUGUGAAGGAGCAGAAGUCCCAGCGCGGCCCGGUGAGCCCUGGGCUCUGACACGUGUCGCCGGGCGCUCCGUGAGGCUGUGUGCUCUCAGGUAAGCAGCCCGCUGCCCCGUGUGGAGGCCGCAGGGGUCCACACACGUCCAUGUGUGUAGGCUCCUGUGUGUUCCAGAUCCCGUGCGCUGGGCGUCGUGCUCGGAGCUUCGCGGGCAUUAGGUUGUGCCAUCCUCCAGGCGCCUGUAAGGGGUCUACGAUCGUUCUCUCCCUUCCACCAGGAGGAGACGGGCCCUGGGGGGUUAGGGGCCGUGCCUGUGGUCACAUUAUUUGUUUGUGGCAGAGUGAGACCUGAACCUAGCGUUGUCUGAUUCCAGAGACCCUGUGCUAAAAACACGUACGGAAAUCCUCCGGCCCACCUGUCCGUCCGUGCAGGUUUUGAUUAUGCUAAAAGCCACAGAAGCACGGAUCCUCCCCGAGACUGCUUCCCCCCACUUUCUCUGCAUUUUAUUUCUUCAGCAAGCCUGUUACCCCUAGUUCUCAGACUUCUUAAUGCCUCCGAUGUCUUUCCCUUUGGAUUAUGAUUUCUUACAUCUUUUCUAGAAUACAAAAUUGUGUCUUCCUUUCUUAUUUUUAAGAUUAUAUUUGUAAGUAAUCUCUACACCGACCAUGGGGCUUGAACUCACGGCCCCAAUAUCAGGAGUCACACGCUCCACGGACUGAGCCAGCCAGGGGCCCCUUGUCUUCCUUUCUUACAACUGCUGCUUGAGGAGGCAUACCAGAGGCUCCUGCGGCUGCAGAGCCUUAGAUUUGUAGCGUCCGUACUUCAGGUCACGAGGAUGUCGUUAUGAUGAUUUUGUAUUCGAGGUCUUCCACUUUCCAUAUGAAAAUUAAAGUACUGGCUUCUACAGGACAAGCCACGGA